GCGCCAGUAGUCUAGCCUGGCUAGGACACCGGCUUGCCAAGCCGGAGGCCCGGGUUCAAAUCCCGGCUGGCGCA
rnacentral:tRNA from 1 species